rnacentral:rRNA from 1 species
UACAGAGGUGGCAAGCGUUGUCCGGAUUUAUUGGGCGUAAAGAGCGUGUAGGCGGCCAGGUAGGUCUGCUGUGAAAACUCGAGGCUCAACCUCGAGAUGUCGGCGGAAACCAUCUGGCUAGAGUCCGGAAGAGGAGAGUGGAAUUCCUGGUGUAGCGGUGAAAUGCGCAGAUAUCAGGAAGAACACCGAUGGCGAAGGCAGGUCUCUGGGCCACUACUGACGCUGAGGAGCGAAAGCGUGGGGAGCAAACAGG